UUUAGCAUGUCUUAAAUUGAAGAGAAAAUGCAGGUGUGCUAUAGUUCGUUCCUACUUGUAAGGUAGUCUUAUGCAUGCAUACGCAGAGUUACGCGUAUAAAAGUCAUUAUUCUUACUUACAUGUAUCAAUACCCAGUGAUUUGUGAGAACCAUAAGGGUUUUUUUCAAAUACCAAGAGACUAAAAUUUAAUUCUAUCUGUACUCGUGUGUAUGCACAAGAAGUUCUUCCGAAUUUCCUCUACACAUAUACAUGUGUACCUGGAUAAAGGAUUAAAGGUUAGAGUACAUUUUGAACAGCCAUCUCCAGGUAUGACAAAAAUAACACGAUUGACCCUAUAAGGACAUACUCUGAAGACAGUGAUGUGCAAGUUCAAGGUUUGACUGUUCAUACACUUUAAUAAUAAAGAAUGGGUGAAAAAAUUCUCACAUCAUGCUGCAUAACAGUACAUUUCAGCUGUAACAAAAGAAAUUAUCUGAUGAAAGCUUCAACCACGAGAAUCUAUAAAAGGAUGUCAAGUCCAAAGAGAAGGCCAUAUAACAAAUGGUUGCUGAAUUCAUGAAGACUAGCUGGGAUGAUACAGUACUUUUCUACUCUUAUGAACCAUACCUAAACAUCAUUUGAGGAUCCCUUUCUCAGAAAAAAAGAAUUUGCAUAUUCAAAGUCUCUAUAGUUUAUUGUUUAUUUGUACAUUGUUUAACAUUCUUCUUGAGAAUUUUUCACUCAUAUGGGGAUGCCAACAUUUGGAGAACUGCAAAUUUUGUCCUUUACUUGGCACACAUGGCUAAUUGAGCAACGAGGGAUCUUUUUGGUGCUAGCACCUACUGCAACACAGGACCUCUGUAUAUACAGUCUCAUCUCUAUCUCCGACUGGGGGAUUUUGAACCAGCAAUUUAAGGAUCAACUCCUUACUUAUGACUCUCGAGCAGACGCUCUUGCCACUCUGCCAUGCAAGUGACUUCAUAGGUUAUAAAAUAAUAAGAUAAGAUUUAUAACUUAAAACUGAUGUUUUUAAUUCAAUCACAGUAUAGAAAAUGUUUGCAAAAAAGGGAGGUAAUAGCUACAUGUAGCUCUCACUGGUUUUGCAUGCUUAA